UAACACAAGAAGGAAUUUGAAAAGAGUAACACAAGAAGAAGGUAUUGAAAAGAGUUACACAGAAGAAGGUAUUGAAAAGAGUAACACAGAAGAAGGUAUUGAAAAGAGUUACACAGAAGAAGGUAUUGAAAAGAGUAACACAGAAGAAGGUAUUGAAAAGAGUAACACAGAAGAAGGUAUUGAAAAGAGUAACACAGAAGAAGGUAUUGAAAAGAGUUACACAGAAGAAGGUAUUGAAAAGAGUAACACAGAAGAAGGUAUUGAAAAGAGUUACACAGAAGAAGGUAUUGAAAAGAGUAACACAGAAGAAGGUAUUGAAAAGAGUUACACAGAAGAAGGUAUUGAAAAGAGUUACACAGAAGAAGGUAUUGAAAAGAGUUACACAGAAGAAGGUAUUGAAAAGAGUUACACAGAAGAAGGUAUUGAAAAGAGUUACACAGAAGAAGGUAUUGAAAAGAGUUACACAGAAGAAGGUAUUGAAAAGAGUAACACAGAAGAAGGUAUUGAAAAGAGUUACACAGAAGAAGGUAUUGAAAAGAGUUACACAGAAGAAGGUAUUGAAAAGAGUAACACAGAAGAAGGUAUUGAAAAGAGUUACACAGAAGAAGGUAUUGAAAAGAGUUACACAGAAGAAGGUAUUGAAAAGAGUAACACAGAAGAAGGUAUUGAAAAGAGUUACACAGAAGAAGGAAUUUGAAAAGAGUAACACAAGAAGAAGGAAUUUGAAGAUAAAUAACACAAGAAGAAGAAAUGUGAAGUAACACCGGAAGGAAAAUGCAGAGAAGUAACACUAGAAAAAUGAAAAUGGAAAUGAAAAGAAUCAUCCACCUUUCGGCCCAAACCAACAUCACAAAAUUAUGGGCGAGUCUCUUCUGGGAGGAAAGCGGCUCGUUCAGACCCAGGAACACCAGAAAGGAUGAUAGAAACAUCAAGAAAAGGAAAA